rnacentral:sRNA from 1 species
CCUUUCGGUCCGACGUCAGUGGGUUACCGAUCCCUCCCACCCUCCCACUGGCAAAACCUUGACCGCUAG